ACAGCCCUGGAAGGGUACCUGGGCCCCAGCUCUCCAUGCCUGGUCUCCACACUGCAUUUUCCCAAGUUCCCAUGGAGAGAUACAUUUCACUUGCCCAUCAUUUGGAGGGUUCGUUCAUGUCCCUCAGAAGUGGAGAAGGAUGGGGAGAGAAACCUGGUGGGAGAAGGGCAGAGAGAAGAGGUGGCCAGAGGAGGCAGCAAUGGUACAGUUGUAUUUCUGACGCUGACAUCAUGAUGUCGUAUAAAGAAAUACGGGCCUGGUUUGAUAACAGAGACCUUGAGAAGUGGAGACACAGGAUCCAGUUUAGAAGAGUGCAGGCAUGGGAUGACAAGAGAUGGGGCAGAGACUUGGCCCUGGUGGCUGAACAGCUAUAAACAGCUCACCACAGGUCGGUUAAAGAAAUGCAGACCUGGAGCCAGACUAAAACUGUUUUCAUGGGCAACAAAAAGAACAAAGAACAAGUAUGUAACAUAUGUAAAAUGCACCAUAUAUAGUAAAUUUGGAUGUAAUGUGGAAUUGCAGAUCAGUGAAGAAAGACUAAGGUGUAAAAGAGUGUUAGCAAAUAUAAAAAAUGACCCCAGAUGGACCCUAUAGCGAGGAAUAAGAAACUGUCAACAGUAACCUCAUAUUCCUUCCAGUGAAGGACUCCAGAUGCUGAUGACUCGCCAUAACGCCUCCUCCCCCUCCCCCGGAGUGAAACUACCAACCUCAGGACCCAAAAGAGCUGUGGAAGGGUCAGCAUAACACCAGGAAAAGGGAUAGAAACUAAAAGAAGUGUGUGUGUAACCAUUUUAACUGUAUUAUUACUAUUAUUGAGACUUUUUCUGUAUAGAAGCAUUCUUUCUUUUUCUGAUAUAGUUAGAUCUGGAAUGUUAUGAUUAUUGGAUUAAACUAUUAAGAUUUCAUU